rnacentral:lncRNA from 1 species
UCAGGUUUCGACUCUUUUCAAAUCUUGUAUCCCAAUUUAAUUUUUCACAAUCUUUUUUAUUAAUGCCGAAAUAUAUACCUAGCACUUUUACAGGUUUGUCCGUGAAUUUAAUUUCAUCUACUUUAUCUCUACAAUGCUUUAGUUUACCAAUCCAAAUUCCUUCCGUUUUAUUUUUGUUUAGUUGUAAUCCAGAAAAAGUUCCAAAAAUUUCGAUUAUAUUUAAUGCUGUUCGGAUUUCUUCUUUAGAUUUUAGGAAUAGAGUUGUAUCAUCAGCCACUUGCGUGAUUUUUAAGCAAUGUGUUUUACUAUCAAUUUUUAAUUCUAUGCCUGUUAUAUUUUUGUUUUGCCUUAGUUGGUUAGCCAUUAUUUCUACUGACAUUACGAAAAGUAUAGAAGAGCACGGGCAUCCCUGUCGGAUACCUCUUAGGGGUCUAAAGGGGGCAGAUAUCCAACCGUUAUUAAAUAUAGAACUAUCUAUAUUUGUAUACAAGGUUUUUAUCCAGUUUAUGAAGGGUUUAUUAAAACCAAAAUAUUCUAAAGUAUGAUACAUAAAAUUCCAUUCUAAUGUGUCGAAAGCUUUCGAAAAAUCUAUGAAUAAAAUUGCUCCUUCUAUAUUAAACUUAUCUGCGUAAUCUAUAACAUCUUGUAUUUGGCGUAAAUUAAAACCUAUAAAUCGGUUCUUUAUGUAACCGGUUUGAUCGGCAUUAAUGAUUAAAUUUAAGAUUUUUUUUAUUCUUAAAGCUAGAGUGUAUGAAAGUAUUUUGUAAUCACUAUUUAAUAAU